rnacentral:rRNA from 1 species
CCUACGGGAGGCAGCAGUGAGGAAUAUUGGUCAAUGGACGAGAGUCUGAACCAGCCAAGUAGCGUGAAGGAUGACUGCCCUAUGGGUUGUAAACUUCUUUUAUAUGGGAAUAAAAUGUUCCACGUGUGGGAUUUUGUAUGUACCAUAUGAAUAAGGAUCGGCUAACUCCGUGCCAGCAGCCGCGGUAAUACGGAGGAUCCGAGCGUUAUCCGGAUUUAUUGGGUUUAAGGGGAGCGUAGGUGGAUUGUUAAGUCAGUUGUGAAAGUUUGCGGCUCAACCGUAAAAUUGCAGUUGAAACUGGCAGUCUUGAGUACAGUAGAGGUGGGCGGAAUUCGAGGUGUAGCGGUGAAAUGCUUAGAUAUCACGAAGAACUCCGAUUGCGAAGGCAGUUCACUGGACUGCAACUGACACUGAGGCUCGAAAGUGUGGGUAUCAAACAGGAUUAGAUACCCUAGUAGUC